GGAAUAUUGGACAAUGGGGGCAACCCUGAUCCAGCCAUGCCGCGUGAGUGAUGAAGGCCUUAGGGUUGUAAAGCUCUUUCACCAGUGAAGAUAAUGACGGUAACCGGAGAAGAAGCCCCGGCUAACUUCGUGCCAGCAGCCGCGGUAAUACGAAGGGGGCUAGCGUUGUUCGGAAUUACUGGGCGUAAAGCGCACGUAGGCGGAUAUUUAAGUCAGGGGUGAAAUCCCGGAGCUCAACUCCGGAACUGCCUUUGAUACUGGAUAUCUAGAGACCGAGAGAGGUAAGUGGAACUCCUAGUGUAGAGGUGGAAUUCGUAGAUAUUAGGAAGAACACCAGUGGCGAAGGCGGCUUACUGGCUCGGAACUGACGCUGAGGUGCGAAAGCGUGGGGAGCAA
rnacentral:rRNA from 1 species